rnacentral:lncRNA from 1 species
UGCAGGCGAAGGGGCGCUCCCCGGUGUGCGUGCGGUAGUGCGUCACCAGGUUGCCCUUCUGGUUGAAGCGGCGGCCGCAGACGCCGCAGGUGAAGGGCCGCUCGCCGGUGUGGAUGCGCUGGUGCGUCACCAGGUUGGUCUUCAGGCUGAACCUCUUCCCGCAGACGUCGCAGCGAUAAGGCCCCCGGCCCCGGUGGUUCUGGCGGUGCUUUACCAAACGCUCAUACUGCACGAAGCUUCUCCCGCACUCGGGGCACAGCCAGGCUCUCCCCUCCAUGUCCUUCUCUUGGGGAGACUUGGAGGACAGCUCGUCUCCGGAGCUCUUGUCGUGCUCAGGGCACUGGUAGGACUUCUGCCCCAAGUGAGUCUUCUGGUGAGCGACCAGGGAGAUCCACAGGCCAAAGCUGUUGCCGCACUGAUUGCAGAUGAAGGGCUUCUCCGCUCCGGGGGUGGGAGGUGUGGGGGCCGUGCCAUCCCCAAGGACGGACUGCACCCCCAGGUGCCCCAGGAGGUGAGGGCCAGGGCUGAAGCCCGCAGUGCAGCCGGCAGGAGCCUCGGCAGUGGGGCCAUGCUGUGGCCGGAGCAGAGUCACCUUGGGGCAAAACCCUUCCCCACACUGCACGCAAGGGAAGGCCUGCUCCCCCAGCGGGGCCUGCUGUGCAGGCAGCAGCUGCUCCUUCGAGGGGAAGCCCUUCUCCGUGCACGAGAACAGCUCUUGGCCUUCGGGGAUCUUCUGAACAGGCAGAGGUGGCAUAGGACUGAAAGGAGCCUCCUGCUCCAGGCUCCCCGGCUGCAGCAGUGUGGGCGCAGCCCCGAAGGGCAGAGUGGGAGCCGGACCCCGGCCUGGGCACCUCCGCUGGCGUGGGGCGUGUGUCUUCUGGUGGGCUUUGAGAGAGACCUUGUCCUUGAAGCACUUCUGGCACUGCCCGCAGGGGUAGGGGCGGACAUCAGUGUGGGUGCUCUGGUGCGUCACUAGGUUGGUUUUCUGGGUGAAGCGCUUGCCGCACUGGGUGCAGGCGA